rnacentral:rRNA from 1 species
CGAAGGGUGCAAGCGUUACUCGGAAUUACUGGGCGUAAAGCGUGCGUAGGUGGUUCGUUAAGUCUGAUGUGAAAGCCCUGGGCUCAACCUGGGAAUGGCAUUGGAUACUGGCGACCUAGAGUGCGGUAGAGGGUAGCGGAAUUCCCGGUGUAGCAGUGAAAUGCGUAGAUAUCGGGAGGAACAUCCGUGGCGAAGGCGGCUACCUGGACCAGCACUGACACUGAGGCACGAAAGCGUGGGGAGCAAACAGGAUUAGAUACCCUGGUAGUCCACGCCCUAAACGAUGCGAACUGGAUGUUGGGUGCAACUUGGCACUCAGUAUCGAAGCUAACGCGUUAAGUUCGCCGCCUGGGAAGUACGGUCGCAAGACUG